GAACGCUGUCAGGCUGAAUUCUGUCUCCGUCUUGGUGUUCAAAGCGUCUGGAGGAGCUGGCAGCACUGCAGCCACCAGCAGAUGUCUGCCAGAAUAAAUUGGCUGCACAAACUUUCUGCGGCACCUGUUCAGUCCGUCAUUAGAAACAGUGACAGACUCCCAGAAACAGGAGGAUUUAGAGCCGGGUAUGGAUUCAGGUGUACUGCUGUUACUCCGUGGACGACGGAGCAUCAUUCAGGGACGUCCCGGAGGCUGUGUCGGUUACCAGGCAACCAGGAAGGGAUGCUGAGGACGAUGACACCAGCGAGAGGUUAUGGGAUGUGAACGUUACUCAUGGAGCUACAGGCCGAUGUUCUCUGACUGCGUCAGAUAUCUUCCUGGUGUCAUUCAACCAGCUGACCCAGAGGCUGUGAUGAGACCAAUCCUCAAAUAUGAAUAAAUAAAUGAUUUAACACUGA